UACAGAGGGGGCCAGCGUUAUUCGGAAUUAUUGGGCGUAAAGGGCGCGUAGGCGGCCAUGCGUGUCUUCCGUGAAAUCCCUCGGCUUAACUGAGGACGUGCGGAAGAAACUGCAGGGCUAGAGUCCUGGAGAGGAAGGUGGAAUGCUUGGUGUAGAGGUGAAAUUCGUAGAUAUCAAGCGGAACACCGGUGGCGAAGGCGGCCUUCUGGACAGUGACUGACGCUGAGACGCGAAAGCGUGGGGAGCAAACAGG
rnacentral:rRNA from 1 species